UUUGAACGCUGGCGGCAGGCUAACACAUGCAAGUCGAGCGGGGGAAGGUAGCUUGCUACCGGACCUAGCGGCGGACGGGUGAGUAAUGCUUAGGAAUCUGCCUAUUAGUGGGGGACAACAUCUCGAAAGGGAUGCUAAUACCGCAUACGUCCUACGGGAGAAAGCAGUGGAUCUUCGGACCUUGCGCUAAUAGAUGAGCCUAAGUCGGAUUAGCUAGUUGGUGGGGUAAAGGCCUACCAAGGCGACGAUCUGUAGCGGGUCUGAGAGGAUGAUCCGCCACACUGGGACUGAGACACGGCCCAGACUCCUACGGGAGGCAGCAGUGGGGAAUAUUGGACAAUGGGGGGAACCCUGAUCCAGCCAUGCCGCGUGUGUGAAGAAGGCCUUAUGGUUGUAAAGUACUUUAAGCGAGGAGGAGGCUACUUUAGUUAAUACCUAGAGAUAGUGGACGUUACUCGCAGAAUAAGCACCGGCUAACUCUGUGCCAGCCGCCGCCGUAA
rnacentral:rRNA from 1 species